UCGACAGUCGGGUCCGAUUGCUUUUAGGCGGUCGCCACAAAAUUCAGUCUGGCCGGGUCAUCGUGGUGGAGGUCAGCCUCAACUCGAUUUUCUAUGCAAUCAAUCCGCCAAAAGCUACCGGCGCGUCUACAUCAAGCGAUCAAGUUGUGGUUAUUUUUUAUCUGAUCCACCAAGUUGCCGCCGCUGCAAGAUUAAUUCAAGAAUUAAAGGAAGGAAAAGCUACUAUGUGGGAUUAGCACGUGAAUGCCAAAGAAAUCAGAUCAGAGGCAGGCUAUCAGCGUAAGCCCUGCAAGCCUUGGUCAAUACGGAUCCAGUAACCACGACUCGGACACGGAUGGUCCACGGGCUCGGUCUUCUCCUGUGACUCGCCUCGUUGAACCACCGCGCCUUCGUCGUCGCUAGUUCGCAUCUGCAAGUCGCCAUGGCCUCGCGUCGCUCCUCUGCUGAGCCGCCCGUCGCGCCGUCCCCGCCUCUUGUUGGGCGCUGCUGCUGCCCUGAGUCGCUUCGAGCCGGCCAUGUUGCAAGCCGCCUCCGCGACUGCCGCGCCGUAUCGCCGGGUCGCCGCUGUUGCGGUCACGGACGCGCCAUAAGCCGCCUCGAACUUGCCAGGCCGUACGCACUCCGCCUCACCCGCGGACUCCGCCCCGCUGUGCCGCGCCUCCGGUCGCAUCACUGCUGCCGCUCCUCCGGUCGCCGGCCACCUUGACGCUCUCCGCCGUUGCACCGGCCACCUCCCGCGCUCGGCUGCAUCGCCAUCGCCACUGUAGUCCUCCGAGCUGCACCGGGCCUCGCCUCUCUGCUGACCUUAGCUGCCGGGUUGAGCUGCCGUCCUCUUGGCCAAGAUAGAUUCUUGCAAAACAAACGCCACCGGCUCACCUCGUUGCUCCUCCGCCGCGAGCCACGCCUUGGCCGCUGCUGCAGUCUCCCCUUGCCGGUGUUGCUAAGUCGCCUCCGCCUCAAGUCGCCUGCGAGCCGCCGGCGUUGCCCCGAGGGCCGACCCCUAUUCCCGCGCUUGACCUGCGAGAGGUAGCCUUGCGCACGCUCGGCAGUUCCCGACCCGUUCGCCUACAAGCCGCCUCCCGCGAGCCACCGUUGCCACAUCUCGCUUCAGUCCUGAGCCGUGCCUCUGUCGUGCGGCUCCGCUUCAAGUUGCCCUCGCCAUGGGCUCGCUGCCAUCGCUCGCUUCUGUCGCGAGCCGCCCUGGAGACCCACUCGCCUCCGCUAACUAUUGUGCCUCCGAGCCACCCCCAUUCUACUGGAUUACCGCGCUGUUGUGUCAGGCUGAGACCCUGCUUCUGUCGGUUUGUCUCCGAUGUUCACGGGUCAAGAAAGAAACUUCUGCGGGCGGCUCUCUCCGAUCAAAUCUAUAUCUAUAUCUAUACCUACUAAUAAAGCAAGGUGUUUUCUCCUAAUUUUUCGUCUGUUCACCUGUAUUAUUGUUUUUAGAUUAUUUUAUAUCCGAGAUGGUACUAAUAUUUUACGCAAGCUCGUCUGAAAUAAUAAUCAGUUCGUUUAUGCUAUUGGGCUCCCGAACUGGUGACGUUAUUGGGCCUUGGGCCUUUACUGUGCUAAAAAACUUGGCCAACGCCCAGCCUCUCUUCUUUCUAAAAAUCAACCAAGUGCUUCCCUUCCUGAAAAAGAACGCAGCCGGCUCGCUCUCUUCUUCUUGUUCUCUGCGUGCUUGCGGCCGCCGACCGCCGCAACAGCCACGUCGAUCCACCACAGCCACCCCAGUUCACAGGAGAUGCAGACCAUGUUAGCAGCAAGCCAUGCUCAUGAUGUGCGUGCGUGUGUGUGUGUCAGUUAGAUGGACGCGCGGGGUGUGGCCGCGCCGGGCGCCGGAACCAGUGGCGUCCCAUUGGCGCGCGGCGGGCGCCGGAGCUGAGGAGUGCGGGGCGGGCGUUGCGUGGGCAGCGUCUAGUUGCAUGCAUGGCUGAGUUAGUUAGCACGUAGUUGUAGUAGCUAGGCUGUUAGGAGUGGCCGGUGGAGCUGGCCGCGUCGCGCGCAUAGCGCGCGUCGUGCGCAUGGCCGGUUCGCUCACUGCAUGCAGCGGAGAGCUAGCUAGGAGGAAACGUGAGGCCUGCGUCGCUAUGCGUCUACAAAGCCACGGCUGCCAGUGUGUAUUUUUGUGUGCUGAGUUCGUGCUUAGGAUGGAAAUACUAGCGGCCGUUAGUGCGGCCGGCGGCGUACGUGCGCCGGGGCAAAAAUCUUGCUGUGUGCUUCUUGUUCUUCCACCUCCUUUCUUCUACGUCCGUGCGAGAGAGAGUGAGAGCUCCGGUGAGAGGCAAGGCGAGGCUACGACAACAACAAUUGGUAUUCAGAGCCACAAGGUUCGAGGGGCGGCCGUGGCGCGUGGCGGUGCGCGCGGUGCAUGGCGGACAUGAAGGUCUUGGCAACGGCGCGCGGCGAGCACGUGGCGUCGGCAACGCGCGGCGAGUCCAUGGCGGUGUGGUGUGAUGCCGGACGCGCGGCGAGCGCGUGGCGUCGGCAACGCGCGGCGAGUCCACGGCGGUGUGGCGUGAUGCCGUGCGCGUGACGAGCGGCGGUGGUCGCGGUGACGAGGAGGUCGCGGAGGACCUGCGUGGUGUAGCAGAGGCCGCGGCGGCUCGGCACGACGACCGUGGAGGUGCUGCGCUGCGGUUGAGGCCGUAGCGGUGCAGGGCAAUAAGCCGCGGCGGCGAGCCGGGCGCAACCGGUGCGUGUUAUGGGUGCGCACUGGACGCGUCGGGCGCGUCGGAAUCGCGGGCGCGCGUACGGGCGUGCGGAUCACCGGGGGAGAACGCGUCCAGCGGAGCGCAGGGCGGCCGCGUCGAUCACGUCAGUGCGUGAUCGUGUGCGCGAGCCGGGGCGUGCAGGGCGUGGCGUCAUGGAGGAGCUCGACGUGCGUCGCCGAGGAGCUCGACGUGGCCGGUGGAGAAGAAGCUCGGCGUGCGAACGUCGAGGAAGAACAUGGAGGCAGCGUCAAGCGUCGAGAAGGCCGUAGGAGCGGCCAUGGCGCGAUGUCGACAAUGAGCCUGACAUGUGCAAAGUCAUGGCUUGGGGCGUGAAUGUUAGCAGCAAGCCAUGCUCAUGAUGUGCAUGCGUGUGUGUCAGUUAGAUGGACGCGUGGGGUGUGGCCGCGCCGGGCGCCGGAACCAGUGGCGUCCCGUUGGCGUACGUGCGCGGCGGGCGCCGGAGCUGAGGAGCGCGGGGCGGGCGUUGCGUGGGCAGCGUCUAGUUGCAUGCAUGGCUGAGUUAGUUAGCACGUAGUUGUAGUAGCUAGGCUGUUAGGAGUGGCCGGUGGAGCUGGCCGCGUCGCGCGCAUAGCGCGCGUCGUGCGCAUGGCCGGUUCGCUCACUGCAUGCAGCGGAGAGCUAGCUAGGAGGAAACGUGAGGCCUGCGUCGCUGUGCGUCUACAAAGCCACGGCUGUCAGUGUGUAUUUUUGUGUGCUGAGUUCGUGCUUAGGAAGGAAAUACUAGCGGCCGUUAGUGCGGCCGGCGGCGUACGUGCGCCGGGGCAAAAAUCUUGCUGUGUGCUUCUUGUUCUUCCACCUCCUUUCUUCUACGUCCGUGCGAGAGAGAGUGAGAGCUCCGGUGAGAGGCAAGGCGAGGCUACGGCAACAACAGACCAACGUCCUGACGCCCCAACCCUCACCUAUCCCAACGCCACCGAGCCCCCACACAUCUCGAACUCGGACUCGAAGAAGAGUCCAUGUGGCUUGCGCCUUGGAGUCGUGUCCAAGGAUGAGAUGUUCGGGAGGACGGGGCCGUGCUCUACAUGAAAAUUGAGCCAUUAAAAGGAAUCCUUAACCAAAAAUAAAUCGCAUCUCAAGUUUCUUGCCCGAGAUUGCCGUGCCGCAAGUUUCCGGCAUCUUCGUGCCGCAAGCUUUCGACAUCACCGUGCCUGCGUCGAGUUCACCGGAUAUCCGUCUGCACGUGCUCCAUGGCAACAGUUUUGGAGGUAUGAUAGUGUGCUUGAGCGAGGAUACCUCACUGCCUGUCUUGGAUGUCCAGAACAUUUUGUUGGCCAUCUCACACUCAUGUUGCAACAAUUGGAUGUGUCAUGUGAAACCUGCAGCAUUCAAGCAUUGCAAGCGGCGGUAUGGCAGUCUGAAUCCUGACGUUCUUGGGAGUGCAGUUCUAAUAGGUGGGGCGUUUGUUGGAAAUAUGGGACUGAGACCCAUAGCUCCUUAAAAAAAGGAGAAGAAGGGCUAUCUUGCUUGUCUAAAGUGAGUCUGCAUGGUGGUCUCUGUUGUUUGAAGGCAAGUUGCUCGGGAACGAGCCACUGGUUAAAUCGUUUGGUUAUCUAAGGAUGUGCACUACGAUGUGGGCGACAUGGUCGACAAGCUCUGACUACUACAUUCUCCAACAAGGUAGAAUUAAUUUAGUUGUGGUUUUAUAUUUCAAAACACUGUGAAAUUAGAAUUUACCGAGUUUCUUUGUUUA